GGUGCCGCCAUGUUGGGUGGAGUCGCAAAGGAGGGUUUCACAUUUCAGGGCUUGGGGUCGGAGCCGACAGAGUCGUGGAUCAGUGGGCACCGGGCGAAGUCACAGAGAAGAAGGUCUGAAGGAGGAUUUUAGGGUGGGGCUGAGGCUGAUGGAGUCACAGAGCAAUGGGCGUUGGAGGAGUCACAGAGCAAUGGCCAGUGGGCAUCGAUGAAGUCACGGAGGAGGGUUUCACUUUUUAGGGCUUGGGGCUGGGGUCAGUGGAGUUGCGAAGCAAUGGGCGUCGGGCGGAGUCAUGGAGAAGAAGGUCUG
rnacentral:lncRNA from 1 species